CACACAAACACACCCCUACACACCCAUACAGACAUAUACCGCACAGAAUGAUAGUAACAAGCCUUCCUGCUCCAGUUUCAUUGGAUAUUGUGCAUUCACUAAAGAAGUCUUGCAGCUUGUCCAUGCCUGGUGUUUGUAUUACCGUUAAUAUACCACACAGUCAUUUACUGAAUCCGUUUAAUGUGCCCUUGAAUUAAAUCUUGCUUAGGAAAAUAUUAAUAGGCUGAAAAAAGUUAGCCAAAAAUCCUUUGCAUUUUCUAUUUCAUUUUUAACUGUUUUCAAUUAUGAUUAGAAAAACACAUUUAUUGUAGGAGUAUGGCGGGGGUGCUGGAGGGAGAGGCACAUUCCAUGAGGGUGUAGGGCCCAGAUGGCGGACUUCCUCUCCCAGCUGAGCAGUGAGCGGGCAGUCACCCCAAGUGCUCCGGGCGGGGGAGGGAUGAGCAGAGGCUGGUGUGGGACGGCCACGGAGCUUCGUGCGCGCACAGAUUUAGGGUGCGUAGGUGCUGAAGAAACACAGCUUCGAUUUCAAUAUGGGCUCAGGUCUCAGUGACUUGAACUCUUACCUUAGUCCGAAGCCUGCCUUUCAGGCCUCCACUCGAAUUCCUCUGCUGCCUGAGGAUUUGGCCAAUCUGUUUCAGAGGGGAUGUGCAUCUCAGUAGUGUCAAACAUGACAAGCUACUAACUUUUUAAAGAAUUUUGGGAAAUUUGUUCAUCUUUUAAAAUUGUUAAUGUCAAAAUACUCAGGAGAAAUGAUCCCUUGGUAGGAAGGGAGCGGGCUCGUGUUAUUUUUGUUGGAGUAAAUAUUUCUACUUUCUGAGUGAUUGAAUAAGAUUUUAGAUAAGAAGAUUUGAGAAAACUUGGCAGACCAGGUUUAUCUACUGUGGGCCAGAACAAGCAAAUUGCAGGGCUACACAUGGUGGGCAGAAAAUGUGAAAUCAUAGCAAUGCGAUGAAUGCAGAAAUUCUUAAAAAAUAUAUGAGAUUUGGAGGGUUGCUAAAAUUUAUGUUAGGCCUUGAUAUCUUCUGAUAGAUGAAUUUUUAAACUAUUGCUUUAAAGUUACGUUGCAUGUCAAUUACAAGAAUGCACUGGAGAUAGAAAAAUCAGUAAAGCAUGAGCCCCACUUUCAAAGCGCCCACAGUUGAGAGGGGACAGCUGAGACAUGAGGGGCACCCCAGAAGCAUAGUGUACACGUGGCCUCCACAGUGACGAGCAAACCCAGCUCCCAGAGGAAGGGGCACGGGGAGCCUUCUGAGGGAAACCAGGGUCUGGAGGGCACCAUCCCAGCAUCCCGAGAAGCGGCUGUCCCACAGAGGGUCCUUCCACCCACCCGCCAAGCUUUCCUGGGUCUGUGCACGCUGUCUCUGCCAGAGGACCUCAGUGAGCAACUGAAGACAAGUGGAGAGAAUAAAACCUGUGGGAAAAUGCAGAGGGAGUCACAGCGGACAGUCCUGCAUCCUAACAGAGCAUUUGGUGGCACGGACGGUGGCAACUUUGUGUUUCAAACCUAAGUGAAUGUCUCAGUGUUGGCUCCUGCAGGCUUCUCUAAGGCAUAGCACCAGAUGUUGUCUGCAGGGGUUCAAAGUUAGCCCACAGGGAGGUUGCUGAUUCUGGCCCACGUCUCACCUGCCCCUGGCUCUUCCAGUGCCAGCUUUGGGCUGCAGACUCAGCACACGCCCAUAACCAACUGUCCUGCUUGGACACCACUGCAAGAGGGCGGACUCUCCUCUAUGGUGGCAGCACCAGGCAACAGCUGCGGAAAAGUCGCUCUAGGAAGGCAUGGGAAUGCCAAGAGCUCCUGACCAGGAUCCUUCACUGUGACAAAGACCCAGACGUCUAUCCUGCCCUUCCUUACAAACGUCUACAAAUGAUCAAAACACACUUAAAACUCUAAGGGAAAAUGUAAAACAAAAGAAGCUUGUUACUUCCCAGAAAAGGAAAGUAUGUAAUUGAAUUGUGAAUCGGGAAUUUAUAAUGAAGGCAAAAAUCUAUUUUAAAAUUCUCUCCCGAAAGCCUCUAUUUGGAAGUGAUCGUGCUCUCUUGAGAUGUGCAUUUCAUAUGAGGAAUCCCACUAACCAGGACUCUGUCCCCGCUUCUAGAGGAAAGUUUGAAGCUUCUAUAAGCAUAAAACCUUGAACUGAGUCACUGGGAACCUGUGAGAGGCUUCUGCAGGCACACGGCAGCCUCCACGAUGUUCUCUCCUCAUUCACGUCUGCCUGCUGCACACCCCAAUUCUCACGCACACCGCCGUUCUGGUCUCCUCCCUGCUAACAGGGAAUUCCCUGGUAAAAAGCAUGAGGCGACUCAGAAGGAGCAUGAGCAGAGAUGACCCUAAUAGGUGGUGCCAACACAGUUUCCCUGAGAAGUUGAAAUCGAGGACUGGUGCCCACUGAGGAGGUCUGAGGAGAGGAGGACUCAGAGCAGCCAGGAUGGGCUUCCUGAAUAUUCAUUCAAUUUAUGUGCGGAUAGGGUAGCCAAGGAGGAAGCUGAGCAAACUAGAGAUGCCACCAAUACAGUGGGGUUCAUCGGAAGUCUCUUGAUGGAAAGUUUCAGACGUGGGGAGUUUGCCCACCAGGCUCCAAUGCUGUGAUUCUUCCAGGGAAUGUCUUCUUCAAUAACAUCUCACUUCCCCCACGAAUCAUUUCUGAUUCUCAGCAUUCCACUAGAUAAUCGCGUGGGAUUGUGCUAAAAUGCGGUCACGUAAAGAUAUAUAUGAAACCCUCAACAUCCUUGAGGUGCCUUGUCUUGUAUUUUUAUUUAAUUGCUUUCGACUUGUAACAAUGGGGAAGUACUGAGCUGUGGAGAACAGCACUGGCCGGAACCGCAGACGAUGUAUCUAUUAUCUCGCGUGCAUGAAGGUCGUCGACCUAUGACAGUUGGAGUAGCAGAAACAUUAGAAAUCAUGUGCAAUUUAAUCUUUACACAAAUAAAGGAAAACUAUCACAAUGCCUGAAUAAUGAAGACUCCCGGAGAAAAAGAAAGGCCUGUCCCCGAGGAUGCUCUUCAUUUUCUCUCCUGGACUCAGCGCGGCGUGCACCCGGCGAGAUUCACUCCGCGCUGACACACGUAUUAAUGGUAUUCUGGCUGGAAGAGAGUGGAUGUUCUCCGGUGAUUGCCCGUGCAGCUGUGACUCAGUUCUCCUCUCCCUCACUCAUUACUGCCUCGUGUCAACUCCCGGAGACCAUUGUUCCCUGAAAAACUGUCAUCCAGAGUGAAAUUAACUGUUUUCCCUUCUAUUUCAACUAAGAAUGUUUCAUGUCCCUGACUUUUCAGAAUACACUGCAGUUUCCUAAAUCUUCUAGAAAGUUACAAAGACCAGACACACGGGUUCUAAGCCAACAUGAAAAGAAAGUUCAAACACAACUCUGAGAAUUAUAAAUUGGGGGUGUUUGAGGCAGAAUUAAAAUGUCGAGAUGCCCUGGUGUGUGACAACAAGGAAUGCUUAAUGCAUGAGCUGCCUUAGAAGGUUUGAGAUGCAGCAGGAGGAAGUGGGGGGUGCACUCAGCCUAGAUCAUGUUGGAGCAUUCCUCUCUGUGCACGGCCCCUGAACCAGGUGUUUGGUGGGCAUUCAGGAAAACGCUGCCCCUCCAUGGAGCAGGAGCAGGAUUCAGCCUUGAUCAUGUAGGAGAAUUCCUUUCCAUGCACGGCCCCUGGACCAGGCGCUCGGUGGGCAUUCUGGAAAGCGCUGCCCCUCCAGCAGGAGCAGAGUUCGGCCCUGAUCAUGUAGGAGAAUUCCUCUCCAUGUGCAUCCCCUGGACCAGGCGCUCGGCGGGCAUUCUGGAAAGCACUCCCUUCCAGCAGGAGCAGGAUUCAGGGAAGACACAGAAUCUCUCUGCCUGCAUCAGCCUACCCUUUCUAUGGGACAGAGACAAAAAGGAGGAACCCCCUCAGGCCACACAGCAUUCCAGCCACUACUAUAGAAGACUCCACACAACCCUAAAAUGGGAAUAAAGGGUCACGGUAGAACCCGGUAGGAGAACGGCAUGGCAGGAGAAAGAGCAAAGACCAAUCAGAGGCAGGUGGUUCCUUUAAAGCCUCACUUUUGUCCUAUUUAACUACAUCAUUAACUGUAAGAUAACUUUAGAUUUACCAAAAUGUUGGAAGAGGACCUGCCUAGCCUCCACCCCACCCUCCUGUUGUCAGCGCCUCUGGUUAUGAGGGUGUGUUUGCCACAACUGAGGAAGCGGCACUGGGCCAGUGGUGUCAGCUACGCUCACCUUUAUCUGGAUUUCAUUAGGUUUUCCCUAAUGCCUCUUCCUGGUCCGGGAUCCCACCAAGGACACCACCUCAUUCCUAGUUGUGGUGGCUCCUUCAGCUCUUCUUUGCUGUGAGAGUUUCUCAGACUUACCUUGUUCUUGAUGGCCUUGACAGUUUUGAGAGAUACCAGUCACGUAUUUUGUAGAAUGGCCUUUAACUGGAAUUGGUCUGAUGGUUUUUUCAGGAUCUACCCCUCUCCUUCACAUUGUGAUAUGUGCAUGUAAGCCUACCUGUGUACAUGCCUCAAUCUCUAAUUAUCAUCUAUCUAUCUAUCUAUCUAUCUAUCUAU
rnacentral:lncRNA from 1 species